AUUGAACGCUGGCGGCAGGCUUAACACAUGCAAGUCGUGCGGGGUGAUGGUGCUUGCACUAUCACUUAGCGGCGGACGGGUGAGUAAUGCUUAGGAAUCUGCCUAUUAGUGGGGGACGACAUCUCGAAAGGGAUGCUAAUACCGCAUACGUCCUACGGGAGAAAGCAGGGGAUCACUUGUGACCUUGCGCUAAUAGGUGAGCCUAAGUCGGAUUAGCUAGUUGGUGGGGUAAAGGCCUACCAAGGCGACGAUCUGUAGGGGGUCUGAGAGGAGGAUCCGCCACACUGGGACUGAGACACCGCCCAGACUCCUACGGGAGGGAGCAGUGGGGAAUAAUGGACAAUGGGGGGAACCCUGAUCCAGCCAUGCCGCGUGUGUGAAGAAGGCCUUAUGGUUGUAAAGCACUUUAAGCGAGGAGGAGGCUCUUUUGGUUAAUACCCAAGAUGAGUGGACGUUACUCGCAGAAUAAGCACCGGCUAACUCUGUGCCAGCCGCCGCAGUAA
rnacentral:rRNA from 1 species